UUUAGUACUGGAAGGAGCCGUCUCCUUGGCUGCAAGUCCUCGGCACUGAUCCAGGCACGGAUUCCAGAUUGGUGAGCAAACCCAUUUUCUGACCAGUCGUUGCUGUCCCACUGGUGUGUAGAGUCUGUGCUGCCUUACUAUUUGUGUUGGGGCUCACGCGUGCAAGAAGAGUUGCGGGACUGCCUCUUUGAGUUUCCUUGAGUUUGGGAAGCAUUGGAGAGGCAUGUUCGCGGCUAGGAAUAGGCAGUAUUCCUAUAGCCCUAAGCGGGAAACGGGCGUUGAACCUGGAUUUUGGAGGCAAAGGCACACUGCUCUGGGAGAUUCCCGUUCGGAGUCCCGAGUGGAUUCAGAGGUCAACAUCUCCUCCCCCAGCUCCAGGAAGUAGGUUUAUUCCCCCCAACCCCCAACCCCCUCCCAAGCAGGCCCGGCUUCUUCCAGGAAGAGUUGGGAGAUGAGCUACUCUACCUGCCCCGACCCGGUCUACACCGGCUGCAACCAGUCGGAGCUAGGAGCCCUAGGGCCUCUCCAGAGGAAGCCGAGGCAAGCUGGGCGGAGUUAGGAACAGACCCCAGCCAGGAUUUCUGGCCCUCGGAAUUAGGCUUCCGGACGUGCUCUGGAGAAGUUUGCCUACCGGGUACUCUUCAUCUGCGGACCUUCUCUGGGGGUGCCUACCGCCCCGUUACUCUGCUGAGUCACUUCUGACGGAGGCAGGCCGAGACAGUGAGGUGAUUUAUUGUGAAUAACUUGGCUGAGAUAGGGAGCAUUGAAUUUAUGUAUUCUAAAAGUAUGUAUGUAAACUCAAUUUUUUUUCAGAUAUAUCCUUCUAUAACCCAAGCUACCCUAUCGCUAACCAUCUUCUUGAUUCCAACCCUCUUCUCUGGUGUUACGAUUACAGGCCUGAGCUACCGACACAGCAAAGGGACAUUUAUUUUAUCAGUCAUUUGAGAAAAAUAGGUGUUACAGCUAGUUAUGUUGCGUGUGUUUCAGUACAGGACCUGAAAAUUGGAUGCCGUAUGUCCCCAGUCUGUUUAUUUAGCCUCUGAGCUUUAACAU
rnacentral:lncRNA from 1 species